GACGAACGCUGGCGGCGUGCUUAACACGUGCAAGUCGAGCGAUGAAGUUCCUUCGGGAAUGGAUUAGCGGCGGACGGGUGAGUAACACGUGGGUAACCUGCCUCAUAGAGGGGAAUAGCCUUUCGAAAGGAAGAUUAAUACCGCAUAAGAUUGUAGUAUCGCAUGAUACAGCAAUUAAAGGAGUAAUCCGCUAUGAGAUGGACCCGCGUCGCAUUCGCUAGUUGGUGAGGUAACGGCUCACCAAGGCGACGAUGCGUAGCCGACCUGAGAGGGUGAUCGGCCACAGUGGGACUGAGACACGGCCCAGACUCCUACGGGAGGCAGCAGUGGGGAAUAUUGCACAAUGGGGGAAACCCUGAUGCAGCAACGCCGCGUGAGUGAUGACGGUCUUCGGAUUGUAAAACUCUGUCUUCAGGGACGAUAAUGACGGUACCUGAGGAGGAAGCCACGGCUAACUACGUGCCAGCCGCCGCAGUAA
rnacentral:rRNA from 1 species